rnacentral:lncRNA from 1 species
CCAUUUCAAAAAUGUAGGGGCAAAUCAAGAAAUCUACAGUAAAUUAACAAAUAGCACUAUUUUAAAAGAUCAGUCUAACAAGGAAAAAAUGCACAUCCACCAACUCCCCCCCCCACACACACACAUACACACUCAGAGGGUAAUCAAGACAAAAUUGAAAAAUACACAUUGCCUGCACUAGGUGAAAACCUAGUGCAGAAGUCCCAAAAAACUCACAGCUCACAGACUGAGCAGCUGCAGUUCCUCUUGCCAGACUCUGACAGGUCGAUGGCCACAAGGCAGCUGUGGCUACUUGCCUACACUCCAUGAUUACCAGCUACUCUCAGAGUUCGUGCUUCCUUCCUUCUCUGAGUAUUUCAACAGAUGCAUGAAAUAACAAUGUCCACCUGGUAAACCCAGAGGGCUGGAGCAGGAACAGCAGUAUUAUAGCCAGCAAGAACACAGCUACCACAUGUUGUUAAGUGCCUGGUGACUUAUUUCCAAAUAAAACUGGACCCAGUUCCUAGUUCUUCUCCAAGCUUUGCAUCUAUUAUCGAGAAUGGAUGCCCGCUGAACAAUGCAAAGAAGAACAGAACAUACAGCCCACAGACAAAUUAUUCUGCAAGGAGAAGAACAGACUGGGUACAUUAGAGCUGAGAACUACGCCACAGCAUUCAGAAAAGAGUGAAAGCAGUGCAGCAGAGCUGAAUCACAUGAAAAGGAGGUUAUACCCGUUCAGAUUUUGCAAAGAUUCCGUAAGGACUCCAAACUCCUCUGACUCUUGGUUCCCUUUGUUGACAUGCCCUGCUGUUGCUCCAUCCUAAGGGAUGUCUACAUUUCAGGUCAAAAGAAAUCUCAUUCCCAUUAUCCAUUUGACCUCUGUAUGUCUCAUUUUCUGUAAGUCUCUUCCCAAAGUUAUAUUCACUGUACUUGCUGAUUCAAUUUAGCUGUAAACCCCAUUAAAAUUAAUGAACACAAAGCUAACAUCUCUUUAUUUUCACUGGUUGGUUGGUUUGGUUGUUUUAAUUGAAUUUUAAUUUUUUAUACCAGGCACAUCCAAUUAAAAUAUAUUA